CAUUAGUCGGUACAACGGAAUGACCUUCUCCCCUUGGACUCACUAUGUUGCUUUGGGCGCUGGUCCGACCCAGGCGCGGCGCCCCCAGCCUUAACUGGGCCCGGCUAAGUGCCCGCCAGUAUACAAAACUCAAGAAUUCAUUUUGUGAAGUCCUGAUAUAUCAUUUAAUUGAUUAAAACUUUCAACAACGGAUCUCUUGGUUCUGGCAUCGAUGAAGAACGCAGCGAAAUGCGAUAAGUAAUGUGAAUUGCAGAAUUCAGUGAAUCAUCGAAUCUUUGAACGCACAUUGCGCCCUCUGGUAUUCCGGAGGGCAUGCCUGUUCGAGCGUCAUUUCAACCCUCAAGCUCUGCUUGGUAUUGGGCAACGUCCGCUGCCGGACGUGCCUUGAAGACCUCGGCGACGGCGUCCUAGCCUCGAGCGUAGUAGUAAAAUAUCUCGCUUUGGAGUGCUGGGCGACGGCGCCGGACAAUCGACCUUCGGUCUAUUUUUCCAAGG
rnacentral:sRNA from 1 species